CAGAGAAAGAAAAUGAGAGAUAUUUCUUAUACUAUAAUGAAUGAAUCAAGCAUCACAAAGUCCAGAUUCAAAGGGCAGAUCUUGAAAGUUAAAAGCUAAUAUUAUUGCAAGGUCUCAUCCAAGGAAGCAACUUUGAGCAUGAAGACCUGGUUUCUUAGGUGUUCACAUCAUGAUCAUGAUGAUUCAGAAAUUCAAGACCAUUUUCUUCAUUCCUUGUUCUUAUCAUUAUUUACACAAGAUACUCCUCAAUUGUAGCCGUUUUGGCAGUUGGGUCUGGCUAACCUAAUGCCUUAGGAAGUAGGAUCUCUUCAGGAAAAGCUGCUUCUUCUGAACUGCAAAAAAAUUUCUUCCCCAAGAGGCUUUUCUGGUUCCAAACUCAAGAAAUAAUAAAUCCCAUAAGAAAACUUGCUGGGUAAAUGGAUGAGAAGGCGGUCACAAAUUCAAACUCUUUUGCCUCUGAAGAUAAGAUUGACAGUAGAUUGUAUCCCAUGUAUUUUGGUGUUUCUUGUGCAUUCUUUGCUGUUCGUCUCUUGUCAUUACCGCAUGAUGUCGGAAACGAGAGAUGGUCAGACAUAAGAGAGAAAAUGCUUCAAGGAAGUGCGCAGCUACUGGGGUUGCUUGUAUGGAGAGUUCAAAGAGAGGGACUUUGUGGUGGGGA